rnacentral:rRNA from 1 species
AGGAUGAACGCUAGCGGCGCGCUUAAUGCAUGCAAGUCGAGCGAUGAGACUCCUACGGGAGCACAUCAGCGGCAGACGGGUGAGUAACACGUAGAUGACGUACCCUCAAGACGGGGAUAACGGAUGGAAACAUGCGCUAAUACCGGAUGACCUUACGAUGUCAGAAUGGUAAGGAAAGCUACGGCGCUUGAGGAGCGGUCUGCGGCCCAUCAGCUAGUUGGUAGGGUAAAGGCCUACCAAGGCGAAGACGGGUAGGGGGUGUGAGAGCACGGNCCCCCACAAUGGGACUGAGACACGGCCCAUACUCCUACGGGAGGCAGCAGCAGGGAAUAUUGCACAAUGGACGGAAGUCUGAUGCAGCGACGCCGCGUGAGUGAAGAAGGCCUUCGGGUUGUAAAACUCUUUUGAGGGGGAAGAGCGAGGACGGUACCCCUGGGAAUAAGCGUCGGCUAACUACGUGCCAGCAGCCGCGGUAAGACGUAGGACGCGAGCGUUAUCCGGAUUUACUGGGCGUAAAGCGUCUGUAGGCGGAUGUGUAAGUUGAGCGUGAAAGCUCCGGGCUUAACCCGGAGAGGCCGUUCAAUACUGCAUAACUUGAGGGUGUCAGAGGGGAGCGGAAUUCCCGGUGUAGCGGUAAAAUGCGCAGAGAUCGGGAGGAACACCGUUGGCGGAGGCGGUUCCCUGGGGCACACCUGACGCUGAGAGACGA